rnacentral:rRNA from 1 species
UACGGAAGGCAGCAGUGGGGAAUAUUGCACAAUGGGUGCAAGCCUGAUGCAGCCAUGCCGCGUGUAUGAAAAAGGCCUUCGGGUUGUAAAGUACUUUCAGUCGUGAGGAAGGUGUUAAGGUUAAUAACCUUAGCAAUUGACGUUAGCGACAGAAGAAGCACCGGCUAACUCCGUGCCAGCAGCCGCGGUAAUACGGAGGGUGCGAGCGUUAAUCGGAAUUACUGGGCGUAAAGGGCACGCAGGCGGUUAAUUAAGUUGGAUGUGAAAUCCCCGGGCUUAACCUGGGAAUGGCAUUCAAGCUGGUUAGCUAGAGUCUUGUAGAGGGGGUAGAAUUCCAUGUGUAGCGGUGAAAUGCGUAGAGAUGUGGAGGAAUACCGGUGGCGAAGGCGGCCCCUGGACAAAGACUGACGCUCAUGUGCGAAAGCGUGGGGAGCAAACAGGGAUUAGACUACC